rnacentral:rRNA from 1 species
UGAGGAAUAUUGGACAAUGGGCGAGAGCCUGAUCCAGCCAUGCCGCGUGCAGGAAGACUGCCCUAUGGGUUGUAAACUGCUUUUAUACGGGAAGAAACACCCCCUCGUGAGGGGGCUUGACGGUACCGUAGGAAU